AGGGUUCGAUUCUGGCUCAGGAUGAACGCUGGCGGCAUGCCUAACACAUGCAAGUCGAACGAAGCACUGAAGAACGGAGAUUCGUCAAAGUUCUCUUUGACUGAGUGGCGAACGGGUGAGUAACGCGUGAGCAACCUGCCCUUCAGAGGGGGACAACAGUUGGAAACGACUGCUAAUACCGCAUGACGUGUUCGGGUGGCAUCACCUGAACACCAAAGGAGAAAUCCGCUGAGGGAUGGGCUCACGUCUGAUUAGCUAGUUGGUAGGGUAACGGCCUACCAAGGCGACGAUCAGUAGCCGGACUGAGAGGUUGAACGGCCACAUUGGGACUGAGAUACGGCCCAGACUCCUACGGGAGGCAGCAGUGGGGAAUAUUGGGCAAUGGGCGAAAGCCUGAACCCCCAGCAAUGCCGCGUGAAGGAAGAAGGCCUUCGGGUUGUAAACUUCUUUUAUCAGGGACGAAGGAAGUGACGGUACCUGAUGAAUAAGCCACGGCUAACUACGUGCCAGCAGCCGC
rnacentral:rRNA from 1 species